rnacentral:ncRNA from 1 species
GAGGCUCAAACCAGAGGAGCUGAUCUGAGAAUUACCGGUUGAACUUGAACUGGAUAAUACCAGCGAAAGGACAUGUGGACCUUUAAUC